ensembl:ncRNA F53B7.9 ncRNA
GUGAAAGAAAAACGCUAACGAUAGACGGAAGUGCUCAACUUCCGUUUGCCAGUAGGUUC